rnacentral:misc_RNA from 1 species
GUCGGCGAAGACAUCGGUGUGGUGGGAUAUCGAGAACUGCCAGGUUCCUCGGUCCUGCGACCCCCAUCUGAUCGCGCAGAACAUCAGCAGCGCGCUGGCGCAGAUGGACUAUAAAGGGCGGGUCAACAUCUCCGCCUACGGCGACACUAACAAGAUCCCGCCCAACGUUCAGCAUGCCCUCAAUAGCACGGGGAUCUCCCUCAACCAUGUCCCCGCAGGUGUCAAAGAUGCAAGCGAUAAAAAAAUCUUGGUUGACAUGUUGUUCU